rnacentral:rRNA from 1 species
UACGUAGGGGGCGAGCGUUGUCCGGAUUUAUUGGGCGUAAAGAGCGUGUAGGCGGUUCGGUAAGUCUGUCGUGAAAUCCUGAGGCUCAACCUUGGACGUGCGAUGGAUACUGCCGGGCUAGAGGAUGGUAGAGGCGAGUGGAAUUCUCGGUGUAGCGGUGAAAUGCGCAGAUAUCGGGAGGAACACCAGUAGCGAAGUCGGCUCGCUGGGCCAUUCCUGACGCUGAGACGCGAAAGCUAGGGGAGCGAACAGG